GGAUAUAAGGGUGAUCGGGCUGGCCAGGCGGGUGUCCCCUUCCUCCCUCAUCACUCACGUGCGUCCCUCCCAAAGCUGCGCGCUCGGUCGAAGAGGACGACUGUCCUUCGGUCAAGGGUGUAUGAGUAGCUGCACUGUUCUGCUGGAACGUCCAAACAAGCUCUCAAGAAAGCCAAUAGUUGGGGCAAGUUACAAAAAAAUCUUUAAAAGCAUUUGGCCAGAGGGGCGCCCAGGUGG
ensembl:misc_RNA 7SK 7SK RNA